GCCCCCUUCUCGCGGAAGAACUAUGGGUGCUAACCUCUCUCUCAGGCCUGCUGUCAAUCGGCUCCGCAUCCUCUAGUUCUGCACAUCCCCGGCCAUCAGAGCACGAACUUCUGGUCGGUCCGCCUGCCGUUCUUUCACCUAUAGAGCCCACCCUCUAAAGGUGUCCAAGCUGCUCCAAAGAACAAUUGAUUAACCCAACGGCUGUCUUUGGCCCUCAGAACUGUCACACCUGGCUCCGCCUCUUCCCGGACAUCAUCUGUUGCACCAGAGACUGGCGGGUCUGGAAAGAAGCUCUGAGCCCAUCCGCGUUUCUCUGUUGGACCCUGUCAGGUCUCUUGUUCCGUGUCCAAUGUCAGUCGGGUAGGGAGGCAGUGGGGCAGUCUUGGUUCUCAUCCCACCCCGGAGUCUCUGCGCAGCCACAAUUCAGGAAAACAAUCUGGAGGCGGGUUCAAAACACUAAGAUUGAUUGAACGCGCUGAUGGUUUGGUUUUCUCCUAUAGCGCUUUGGUAGUGGCUUUUAUCCAGACCGCCCCCCCCCCACCCCCCCGGAAUGAACCCUGGUAUAGAAAUGUUACCCGUAUGUGUGCAUAUGAUUGUUUUUAAUAUAUUUCAAUUUGAUGAA
rnacentral:lncRNA from 10 species